rnacentral:lncRNA from 1 species
CCAGCAUGGCCUCAUUGCUUCCUCUCCGCUUUGGGUCUGCUCAGGGCUGGGAAGCCAAGAGUUUGUUAGCAGGAUCUCUGGCACUCACCCCUGCGUUUCAUUUUUUGGGCUACAACCUAUUUAUCCUUCGGCUAACACACCACAGAGCAAAUAUGUGCCGUGUUUUAUGUAAAUAGUAAUAGAUUUGAUUGCCUAAGUGUAUCUUAUUUUAUGCUUUCCAAUUGGGAGACAGAACAAAUGUUUAUCUUCCCAAAACCUGUAGUUUUCGACAUCAUUAUUUUUUUUGGCUUAUUUUUCUGUGAUACAGUCAUGCAUCCCCAUAGACAACCAAAUGCUUUCUCUUGGAAAUGGAUUUACUGCUCAGUGGCCACAAUUAUUCUAGCAGCACACCCUGGAAAGCCUUUUUAGUGUCUAAAAUGAGGGGUUUAUUUUUCCUGGUGAGGGGAAGCAGGCUCCUGUGCUGGGGAGGCCGCCAGAUUAGGAGUAAUCAGUAAGGUUAAUGAGCCAGAGACUAAUCGUUUGUAUUCCUUUGGAGUUGCUCCAUCGCCCCAAAUGACUCAAGGUGCAGAGGAAGUUUUAAUUAAUUAACCCAGGGCCUCCCUUCCUCCUCCUCCUCUGCCAUGGAAAGCCCAGAGGACCUCUAUCCCCCUAAAUCCCUGAUGCCCCAAAUCCCUCCCAGAGCAGAAACAGCAGGGAAAGCUUUAGAUGUAAGGAUAGAUGGGGUGGGGAGGACUGGUGCAGAAAACAGCUGCUUGGAUUUCCCAAUAACACAGCUUUGCUUCUGCAAAGCUCUGGGUGUUUCUUCCCUCCGGCAGGGGAAAAAAACAGAACAGCAAACGCUGUUCUUCUGUUACUUCCUU